AAUCUCCUGGAGCAUGCGUUGGUUCGUGUAAAUUGAACCUACACUUCUCAUUCGGGAUUCCGGGUUCAGAAGCGGAGGACGAGCCUCGGUGGAGGAUGUCUGAAGUCAUGACAGGAAGUACCCACCUUAUCGUAAACGAUAGGGCGUCAAUUUCAGUGCUGACGGUGUGCUGGGAGACUU
rnacentral:other from 2 species